rnacentral:rRNA from 1 species
GGAGUUUGGGCCGUGUCUCAGUCCCAAUGUGGCCGUACACCCUCUCAGGCCGGCUACUGAUCGUCGCUUUGGUGGGCCGUUACCCCGCCAACUGGCUAAUCAGACGCGGGUCCAUCUCACACCACCGGAGUUUUUCACACCAUACCAUGCGGUAUUGUGCGCUUAUGCGGUAUUAUCAGCCGUUUCCAACUGCUAUCCCCCAGUGUGAGGCAGGUUACCCACGCGUUACUCACCCGUCCGCCACUAAGAUUUAACAAGAUUCUGCCGAAGCUUCAUCAGCGUUAAAUCUCCGUUCGACUUGCAUGUGUUAGGCACGCCGCCAGCGUUCAUC